CAGAAUCUGAGUAUGCUUUGCUAAUAUAAAGUAAAAAACUCUUUUCAUCUUCUAGUUUAGUAUUUUUUCGCACAACGUAUACGAUUCAAGCCAGAAAAAUAUUGAUAAAAUUUAUUGUUUAGUGUAACUAGGCAAAACAAUAAAUAUAGUGAGAGUGACGUUCUCCGGAAAUCCUGAGAACAUAUUGUUCUUGGGAUCCUAAUCAACCAAAAGAGCCGACCUAAUGUAAACAUUUUAUUUUUUAGGAAUUGUAGAGGUAUAUUAUACUUGUGGAAACACAAAUAUAGUUAUAGUAAAAGUAGUGGUUGUACUUUUACUCUCUACAUAUGUAAAAUGAAAAUUCCACUAGUAUUCCUCUUAAAUUUGUCUACAGCUUUUCUAUCAAUGCUUGGAAACAAAGACGCGAUGUUUUCGUUGCUUGUGUGGUACAUAGCGCCGUUUUAUUGGAAGUAAACGUUGUCCAGAUCAAUGCCAUCAAAAUCCAUGCAUAAAAAACCACGAAUCAUACCUUGAUAGCGGAAUACAUUCAUUUUCGAAAAAUUAUAUGUUUACGUUAAGCGACGAUGACGACGCCUUAAUGCUCUAACAUUAUACUUAAAGAGGGAGUUGCAGGACAUAGACGAGAGGUUUCAGUCAUUCCUUAAGAUGAAAAAUUCUACUUUUCAAACACUGGGCUCGUUUGUGGGCCCAACCAUUCAAAGACAAAGACAACUUUUAAAGAAGGUGUUGGCCACGAAGAGCGAUUCAUGAUAACCGUCGUGGAUGACUGAUUUGGAUGAGGUUAGUUUCGCCGGACGAGAUAGUGUCGGAGGCAUUUUUCAAGUUUCGCAAUUCCAACGCUGGCUAGAAAGAAACAUCGACAUUCCGGUCCCAAUACCAUGGCCACAUGACGACAUUGGAACCCGAUUACUUUUUGACCGAUACUUCAUUUCCGUUAAGGAUAACUAUUAUACAAUGCGGCCGUAUCCAGAAAGAAACAUCGUAAAACGAAGCGAAUAUUCAAUUAACCCUUGAGUGGCGAACGAAAACCGAUUGAAUGUGUAUUCCACAUGAUACCCAGAAAUUUAAACUAUUGAUGAAGGUGCCGAGAGUAUAGUACUUGCAACAUAAUUUUAUACACAAACACGAACACACGGAAAAUGACAACCAACCAAUGUACCGAUGCGGGCCAAGGAUAUGCUUCCAGCUAAUUUCACGGCACAGAAAAUUUGGAAAUAUGUUUCCAACUACUUUUUUACUGCGUCAAUUUGCCUUGCCAUGGCAAUGAAAUCAUUAUAAAUAUAUACAAAAUACAUCGUAAGUUUACAAAUUAUUUGUUGUUUAGGUUUAUUCCAAUUUAUAUCAUAUAGUCUUUAACAUAUACCCUUAUUUUUCGCGAAAUUUCCGUCUAUGAUUUAUCAACAAUGUCUCCGCUUCGAUGCACACAGCUUGAAUGAAGAAGCGAAAACAUUAUUAUGAAGUAUAUGUAUGUACAUAUGUGCGUUGAAAUACACGUGCUCGACGCAGAAGGGCCAUAUUUUAGUAUGCCGAAUCGUUUACACAACUAUGAUUAGGUGCUUAAUGUGUAGAAGUCCUAAAUGGAGAUAACGCGCGUUUCGGGUUUUAUAGCACUGUCAAACAGUUUCAGUUUGGUUUAUAAUUUAACCAUGAAUCGU